rnacentral:tmRNA from 1 species
AUAUGAUAAACGUCAAGCUUUGAAAGAAAAAGCAGUCAAACGAGAUGUUGCGCGCGAUAUGAAAGCCCGUUAUUAAGCGAUUUAGUUGCUUAAUCGGGCUAUAUUUGAUAUAGUUAUAUGUGCUGUUAACGCGAUUCAACCUUAAUAGGAUAUGCUAGACACUGCCGUUUGAAGUCUGUUUAGAAGAAACUUAAUCAAGCUAGCAUCAUGUUGGUUGUUUAUCACUUUUCAUGAUGCGAAACCUUUCGAUAAACUACACACGUAGAAAGAUGUGUAUCAGGACCUCUGGACGCGGGUUCAAAUCCCGCCGUCUCCACUA